UGUCCAGUAGCACCUUAGAGACCAACUACGUGUAUCUGAAGAAGUGUGCAUGCACACGAAAGCUUAUACUCAGAACAAACUUAGUUGGUCUCUAAGGUGUUACUGGACA